rnacentral:rRNA from 1 species
AGUAACGGCGAGUGAAGCGGCAACAGCUCAAAUUUGAAAUCUGGCGCAAGCCCGAGUUGUAAUUUGUAGAGGAUGCUUCUAGGUAGCGACCGGUCUAAGUUCCUUGGAACAGGACGUCAUAGAGGGUGAGAAUCCCGUAUGUGACUGGCCCGCACCUUCUACGUAGCUCCUUCGACGAGUCGAGUUGUUUGGGAAUGCAGCUCUAAAUGGGAGGUAAAUUUCUUCUAAAGCUAAAUACCGGCCAGAGACCGAUAGCGCACAAGUAGAGUGAUCGAAAGAUGAAAAGCACUUUGGAAAGAGAGUUAAAAAGCACGUGAAAUUGUUGAAAGGGAAGCGCUCACAACCAGACUUCUAGGCAGUGUUCCGCCGGUCUUUUGACCGGUCUACUCUCUGUCUCGAGGCCAACAUCAUCUGGGACCGCUGGAUAAGACCUUAGGAAUGUAGCUCCCCUCGGGGAGUGUUAUAGCCUCUGGUGAUGCAGCGAGUCUCGGGUGAGGUCCGCGCUUCGGCAAGGAUGUUGGCGUAAUGGUUGUCAGCGGCCCGUCUUGAAACACGGACCAAGGAGUCUAACAUCUAUGCGAGUGUUCGGGUGUCAAACCCCUACGCGUAAUGAAAGUGAACGGAGGUGGGAAGCGUAAGCUGCACCAUCGACCGAUCCUGAUGUCCUCGGAUGGAUUUGAGUAAGAGCAUAGCUGUUGGGACCCGAAAGAUGGUGAACUAUGCCUGAAUAGGGUGAAGCCAGAGGAAACUCUGGUGGAGGCUCGCAGCGGUUCUGACGUGCAAAUCGAUCGUCAAAUUUGGGUAUAGGGGCGAAAGACUAAUC